GACGAACGCUGGCGGCGUGCUUAACACAUGCAAGUCGAACGGAAAGGCCUUGCUUGCAGGGUACUCGAGUGGCGAACGGGUGAGUAACACGUGGGUGAUCUGCCCUGCACUUCGGGAUAAGCCUGGGAAACUGGGUCUAAUACCGGAUAGGAGCCAUUUUUAGUGUGAUGGUUGGAAAGUUUUUUCGGUGUAGGAUGAGCUCGCGGCCUAUCAGCUUGUUGGUGGGGUAAUGGCCUACCAAGGCGGCGACGGGUAGCCGGCCUGAGAGGGUGGACGGCCACAUUGGGACUGAGAUACGGCCCAGACUCCUACGGGAGGCAGCAGUGGGGAAUAUUGCACAAUGGGCGCAAGCCUGAUGCAGCGACGCCGCGUGGGGGAUGACGGCCUUCGGGUUGGAAACUCCUUUCGCUAGGGACGAAGCUUUUUGUGACGGUACCUAGAUAAGAAGCACCGGCUAACUACGUG
rnacentral:rRNA from 1 species